AUAUCAAAACUUAUUUUAUGCAUUAUGAUGAUUUGUUAAUCAUGUUAUUGAGCACUAUGGUAAACAUAUGAUCAAAUUUCAAGUUGUACGUCAAUGAAGGAUCAAUCUUCCAAGCUCCAAGGAUGUUUUGAUAUUGUUGCUCGAGACAUAAUUCUUAUUACCAUAAACUUUGAACAUGAAACUAUUUCUCAUCCUUUGAUAAUGCACAUGAACUAAAGAUAAUAUACUUGUUUUCAUAAAAGCACAUUGUUGGAGAAGCUUGACUUCAUAGCUGAGAGACUGGUACACCACCUAUCUUUUGGGCAUUGUGGCAUAUGUGCGACAAAAACCAUCCUUUCUUCCUUACUGUACGGAGUUAGCUAUAACAUUUGUUCCAUACCAAUGGUUCAAUUUUGUUUCUACUAACAGACUCACACACUUUUCAACUUUGAUAAAUUCAUCUGAUAGAAAUCCUUAACUUUCCGACUUCUCUUACACUACAAGACUGCUCGGACCAUGUGCCACCCUGCAUUCCCAUAUAAUUGGGAAACCUCUUUUUUCUGACUUUAACAACGCUCACCAAAUAACUUCUCUUGCAUUUAACCUUCAAAACAUCAACAACAGUCAGAAUCCUUUGAAACAUCAACAAAUAAAUUCUCUUGCAUUUAACCUGUAAAUAACACCUGGAAAAAAACAAUAAUAAUGGGGUGAGAUGAUAAUCUCAGUGAGCUCCCCUAUCAUAUGGGUCAACUCGGCUCUACAGGGUUUCUAAUCGAUUCCUAACUCAAGUCUUCAUCUUUCGUUACUUAAGUAUUUAAGGGAUAUUCAAAAUGUAUGGCAACAUGUCCCUUGAGUUCACAUAACUCAAUAAAUCACUAUUCAGAUUCAUGAAAUAUUGAUCCCAAAUCUGACCCACGUCUAGGGCAAGGCUCGUUUACGCAUUCUCGUAUGAUUCUCCUUUCAAAUGGAUAUUGGGUUUUCCAUGGGACUCGAACCCACAUCAAGAAUCAUCACUUGUAUAGGAUUUGAACCCACUUUGAGUAUCUUUCAUCGUAUGGGACUCGAAUCCACAUAGGUGUCCACCUCUCCCCUAGGUCCUGCCAUGGUUGGGACUCAAACCCAUUUGAGGCACGAAUCAUUGGUGCCACAUCCAUUUUCUACUUUACAUAAGCAUCUCAAAUGGGAUGUGUACGAUCAAUGGAAAACAUCUGAAUACGUGAUUAGGUUCCAUAUCAUCAUGAUUACUCUCAUUAAUCACUAGGUGAUCAUAUUCACCAACUCAUGUUCCAUACAAGGCAUAUUACUUUGUGGCUAAGCUACAAUUCUAGUGACUACUCGUCCAUGAUACACACCGAGGUACCUUCGCGUCCGAAUAUCGCCAUCUAUAUCAUCUGCCAUAGCCUUGAUUAUUCUUACUAUUCCAUUCACCUAAUUACAAACCCUGGGUUUAACCUCACUCAUCAUCAAGAUUUUAAUCAUCUAAUACAUACAUAUAAGAAAACAAGUCAUAGUAUACUUCAUAACCUACACGUCAUAAUUUCAUACAUAAAGCACACAUAAUAGUUCAUUACCACUAGAACUUUCAGAACAAAUGGUCCUCGCCAAAUAAGACUUCCAAAACAAAGGUUCCUCACAAAAUAUCCAUCCAAUAAUUGGAACAUAAACAUGGUUUCUAUUUACCAAAAGGUAAAGUAUUGGACUCACUUUCUAAUAUAUUCAAUCUCACAUCAACCGGACUUACGAAUCCCGUUUUAUGGUGGAAAUAGAUAAACAAGCAAUAUACAUUCGUUAUGGUUAAUCCAUCAUGUGAAAUUAACAUAUAUUGAAGACAUUAUAUUCAACAAACAUGAAAUAACAUCACACAAUUAGUAAAAAUACAUGACACUAACACACAAUGUUCAAUAACAAUCACAACACUCAAGCUACACUCGAAAAAGAUGUUUACAUGCAAAACGCACACAUUACAACAAUUAAUAAAAUACAAAACAGAAACAUGUUUACAUGCAAAACGCACACAUUACAACAAUUAAUAAAAUACAAAACAGAUUGUAUUGUAUGAAUUGACAUAACAUGCAUGAAACACAUCCAAGCAAUACAUUACAAAUGUAGUCGUAUAUCAUAGAAUAUUUAUCACACUCACAAAUUAACACAUGUUCACCCAAAAUACAUCGUAUGUUUAUAGUCAUAUACCUAAGCAUUAGCAUAACAUAGUUUAAUAGUUGUAAAGUAAAUACAUAUUACAUUACACAAACACAUAAAUAUCUGACACAACACAAUCAGAAGCAAUUAUGAUCAUAUAGAGAACACAUACAAAAGUAGUACUACAUACACAUAUUUGGAGAACAUGGUAUCAAAGCUUAUACAAAAAAUGACAAUAACCAUAUAAAAUGUGAAAACAAAAAUGGCAACAUAGUUUCACACACAAUCACAUAAUAUAAACAUAUUUUCAAUACAUAAUCUCAUAAUUUAUCAUAAAUAUAACAAGAUUUCACAAGAAACCUAAACCCAAAUUUUGAUAAAUGUUUCCUCAAGUUAAAACUAACAAAGAACUCACCUCUAGCAAGGAAUAUGAUGAAGAAAUUGAGAUGAAGUUGGCGAUGAUGAUUCUUCUUCUUCUUUCUCUAUUCUCUUCUUUCCUCUUUUAUCAUUUCUUUCUCUUGUUUUUCUUUUAC
rnacentral:lncRNA from 1 species